UACGUAGGGUGCAAGCGUUAAUCGGAAUUACUGGGCGUAAAGCGUGCGCAGGCGGUUAUGUAAGACAGAUGUGAAAUGCCCGGGCUUAACCUGGGAACUGCAUUUGUGACUGCAUGGCUAGAGUGUGUCAGAGGGGGGUAGAAUUCCACGUGUAGCAGUGAAAUGCGUAGAGAUGUGGAGGAAUACCGAUGGCGAAGGCAGCCCCCCUGGGAUAACACUGACGCUCAUGCACGAAAGCGUGGGGGAGCAAACAGG
rnacentral:rRNA from 1 species